GUGUUUGCUCUGCCUUGAAGAACCGAGUUCUGUUUGUUAAAGUUCUCUUAAAUACGGGAAAUCAUGUUCCUUGCCCUGGUGAACGUGCUUUUGCUUCCCAGAUAAAAGACCCGACCUGUUGCCAGGUAUCUAAGCAGCCCCAUGCAGCUCUCAGCUGCCAGCACCGUCCUGCAGUUUGCAAGGCUGCUUUCAGGCCAGAACAGGGAAAUGUGAAGUCUCCCAAAAGUGCGGACCUGCAAUCUAGCUAGCUGGUGACUGGAUGGGAGCUGCAUAUGAGUUUUAGAAUAUGGUGAUUAAAUUUCAGGACAGGUUUCAGGGUUCUUUUCAUGUGAUCUCAUUACCUGGACUCUUUACCUGUGAUGUCAGAGAGGAAGGUGGGACAGUGGCACUUUGGGGUAGGGGAGCAGCUCACCAGGACAGAACCAGCUACCCUGGGAGAUGUGCACAUCUUCUUCUACAGCGAGAGGAGACAUGGAUAUCCUUGGGACCAGUUUGCUUCUGAGUAGCAUUCCCUGUGUCCCAUAUACUCACUUAGUUUCCCUGUUUGGUGGUGGCAAAUACAUUUUUGAUGAGUCCAUACAAGUUAGGAAGGCACUUCUAAUUAGGAGAGAGUAGAUAAUGUUUGCAAAUGACCUUGGGUGCCUUUUAGUUUUAUUUUUAAUGUUUCCCUCUGUUAGUGGGGAAAGGAUUAACAUAUGGCAAACCCUUGAAGUUCUUGGAGUUUAAAUUCAUCCAUUCUCUUCUUGUGCAAGUGAUUGAGGUGAUACUUGUGGGCUCAGGAGCCAUGUUCUAGUUCUAGAUUACUGCUAUCUCAGCAACUAGGGCAGCUGAACCAAAAGCCUCAGAAGUCCUAUUCAGUGAUGGUAAACAUUUGAAUGGAUGAGCAGAGGAGCAUGUAUAUAUUUAGAAACUUAACACCCAACAGAGAAAGAACCUCUGGGUGAGCCGGCUUGCUCAUCCCUGUGCCAGGUCAGACACACCCAAGGUUACAUCCUCUUCUUCCAUGAUAAGCUGAAGUCACUUCCUUCUGUACCCAAGGCUGCCCACACCCAGCUACUGUUUCCUGCCCUGGAUCAAGAAGUACAGGUCACUCCCCUUAUAGCCUCUUGGUGGCUUAGGCAUCUCUGUCAGCAUUCUGGGUUCUUUUGCUUCUGUCCCUUAGUCUCCUCACAAUUUGGUUGUCAUCUCGCUUCUAGAUCCAGAGCUUGUCUUUGAGUUCCUGGCUUCUGCUUGGACUUCUUGUCUUAUAGACUCAGAGUUCUUUCAUUGCUCUGCAGCCACCAGAAAUUUAAGCCCUGGAGUGCUGAUUUAGAACUGUAUGAUCUCCUGAUAUCCUUGUUCUUCUUGAUUUUUACUCCCUUGGUCCCUGACUCCUUCUACUUCUGUCUCAUUAAAAAAUCUAGUUUCCGACCUGGGCAUAGUGGUGUACUCCUAUAAUCCCAAUGAGCUGGCCCAGGAGGAUGGCAAGUUUGAGGCCAGCCUUAGCAACUUACUGAGGCACUAUGUAACUUAACAAGACCCUGUCUCAAAAUAAAAGAAGGGCUGGAGAUAUGGCUUAGUGGUUAAGAGUCCCUCGAUUUAAUACCUGGUACACACACAUACACACACACACAAAUCAAAUCUUAUUUCUUACAAAUUAUUUCAUAUUUCAACAUGCAUUUAUAAAUUCCAAAUAUGUUUUCAGACUUGGUUUUACAGAACAUAAAACUUGACAAAUAAGCUUGAGAGUUUUGAAAACAUGUAUUUCAUUUACAUGGCAUUAAAUUUUUAUAGAUUAACAUCUCUGUCAGUUAUUAAAACCCAGAAAAUGCUCAGAAAUGUAUGUGUGUCUUAGAUUUCAUCAGCAGAGGUAGAAAGUGAUAAAGCUCUAUUGGUAGUUGGGUAUCAACCCAUUUGGAUAAAAGUCCAUUUUCUCCUAAUUGCUAAAUUUUUCCUUCUUUUUCUUGUUAGCCUUAUUUAGUUAUAUUUUUAUUGAUGUAGAAUACCCAUAGAAAAGAGUGAAUAAAUUGCAUGUGUUCGGUGCAAAGUAUGCACAGUGUGUAACUAGCACCCAGAUCAAGAAAAGAAACAGCAUUUCCAGCCCCAAGAAGAUACCUCACAGUUUUAUCCAAUGACCACCCUUUCAGGGAUGGCAUUGUGUUGCCUACUGAUGUCACAGGUUAGUUUCGCCGCCUCCUAUGUGGUCU
rnacentral:lncRNA from 1 species